GCCUUUGUUGUGUAACGGUAACACACUCGGUGCGCAUUCAAGAGGUCCAGGUUCGAGUCCCGGCGGGCGCA
rfam:Stegodyphus mimosarum contig31417, whole genome shotgun sequence.